rnacentral:lncRNA from 1 species
GAGGCUCAACGGACUGUUGAGAAUUCUUCUUGCCGCCUGAACUUUGGCCGGGCAUUUGGACGGCCAAACAACGUCUGUUUUGGCUCAAAUUUUGAAGAAGUGUUCUACUCGACGAGAGAAAUGAUUCUAUGGUGGUAGGGGAAUUCUUAUAUCUGUGGUAAGGGAACCUAACCCUUUAAAUAAUUGUGUUUUUCAUUGAAAAAAAAUUAUAAACUUUGUCAUUAUGAGUUAAGUAGGUAAUAUUGGUGUUGUAGGAAUUUUUUUGGAUUUUUUUGUAAUUUUGGGAAUUCUUUUUAGUUGAUAAAUAAUUGUUUUGGGUUGUUAAAAAUUAUUAGAAGUGUGGGACAAUUCCGAAAUUAGGGUACAAUUUCAAAUCUAGUGAUAUGUGAAUUUUUUAUAAUUGGUUGGAAUAUUUUUGGUAAUUUUAUUGUGAAAAAUUAAUUAUUUUCGAAUAUUGAAAAUUAUUAGAAUUAUUGGAAAAUUCCGAAAGUGUGGUAUAAUUUCAAGUUUAUUGAUAUGUGAAUUUUUGAAAAUUUGUUGGGAUAUUUUUGAGAAUUUUAACGUGGAAAAUUUAUUUUAUUGGAUUAUUAGGAAUGUUGGAAUUGUUGAAAUUGUUGGAAUUGUUGAAAUUGUUGAAAUUAUUGAGAAAUUUUGGAAUUGUGGCAUUCAUUUGCAUCAUGGUUGUGUGAAGAAAGGAUAAAAAUUGUGAAAAGUGUAUGAAAUGGAAAAAGAAAGGAAAAAAAAUAAAAUAGUGAUGAAAAGUGAAAGCCCGUGUGAAGCGAAUUAAGAAGGGAGAGAAAUCCCUAGGGUAAAAGACCCAAAAGUCUAUCCCGGGAAGACUCCGAAUGGGGAGUGUAUUUGGGUGCGAACGCGUAUCCUUCGGUGAAAGUCCGAGAACGAUAGUGCAUUGUAUGACUGUGUGUCACACGUUCAUAUGCAUUUCAUUUAAUUGUUGAAUGUUGUGGAAUUGUGUAUAAUAUUAGAUAUUAAAUUAUGUGGUUUGAUUAAUACCGUAAAAAUGUUUCUUUUGUGCUAUUUGAAACUUAAUAAUCCCCAUUAACCCCUUGGGUGUUAGGCACCCUACUGAGCAAUGUGAAAUGCUCACCCCUUCUUUUUUACAUCUUUUUAGAUGCAGAUAUCAUUCCUGAGGAUCCACAUGUGAGGCAGGGAGGACUUCAGGAUGCCCCUAGAGUGGUCUAGUGGAGCGUGUCUUAUCUAUUGUGUUUGUGCUAUUGGGACUUGUUUUAAUAAAUUGUGAACUAUGGAUAUGUAAUGAGACCCUAAUUUGAUUAAGCUGUUUAACUAUGAACUUUUAUUUUGGACUGUAAUGAUAAUUAAUACAUCUUGUUGCUUUUGAGCAAUGUUUGGGAUAUUAUUGGUUGAUGAAAACUCUAGUGUGAG